rnacentral:rRNA from 1 species
UACGUAGGGGGCAAGCGUUGUCCGGAUUUAUUGGGCGUAAAGAGCGUGUAGGCGGCUAGGUAGGUCCGUUGUGAAAACUCGAGGCUCAACCUCGAGACGCCGAUGGAAACCAUCUAGCUAGAGUCCGGAAGAGGAGAAUGGAAUUCCCGGUGUAGCGGUGAAAUGCGCAGAUAUCGGGAAGAACACCCGUGGCGAAGGCGGUUCUCUGGGACGGUACUGACGCUGAGACGCGAAAGCGUGGGGAGCGAACAGG